AGCGGCGGUGGCGGCGGCCCAAAGCGUAGGGAAGGAGGAAGGCAGGGAGCUUAGGAGCGGGAGCUGGAGUCCCGGCGGUGGAGAUCCCUGUGCGGUGCGGAGGGGGCCACGGCCCCGGCUCUGACCCGCGCCUGGGGGGUGGGCCAUGGUGGAGAUCAGCGACCUGGACCGGCAGAUCGAGCAACUGCGGCGCUGCGCGCUCAUCAAAGAGAGUGAAGUCAAGGCCCUGUGCGCUAAGGCCAGAGAGAUCUUGGUAGAGGAUAGCAACGUACAGAGGGUGGACUCGCCAGUCACAGUGUGCGGCAACAUCCAUGGGCAAUUCUAUGACCUCAAGGAGCUGUUCAGAGUGGGUGGCGUCGUCCCUGAGACCAACUACCUCUUCAUGGGGGAUUUUGUGGAUUGCGGUUUCUACAGCGUCGAAACGUUCCUCUUGCUGCUGGCACUUAAGGUUCGCUAUCCUGACCGCAUCACCCUGAUCCGGGGCAACCAUGAGAGCCGCCAGAUCACCCAGGUCUAUGGCUUCUACGACAAGUGUCUGCGCAAAUACGGCUCGGUGACCGUGUGGCGCUACUGCACUGAGAUCUUUGACUACCUCAGCCUGUCGGCCAUCAUAGAUAGCAAGACCUUCUGCGUGCACGGGGGCCUCUCCCCCUCUAUCCAGACCCUGGACCAGAUCCGAAUGAUUGACUGAAAGCAAGCGGUGCCCCACGAUGGGCCCAUGUGUGACCUG